UGUGUGUGUGUGUGUGUGUGUGUGUGUCUGUGUACGUAAACAUGUAAUGUGUGUGUGUGUGGGGGGGAUCAACCGUGGAGUGUACUGGACUCUUCUCUGCUCCUUGAUCAGAGUGGUGAAAUUGGAUAGAAAAGAAUAUACCUCUACUUUGUUAUAAUGUAAAACGUUGACCAGAUAAAUGCAUUGGAUAAUAAUUAAUUAACCAUUACUAACCAAUUAAUAAACCAAUAAUGGUUUGCAAUCAUGCAUAUAGAGGCAGCCAACCUACCAUAUCUAAAUCUGUCGUUUUUGAGAGAGGCCUUACUCCCAAUGAGCCAACUGGGAUUUACCGUAUAAUAAUCUUAAAUACACCAGAAAAGACAAGCUUGUAAAACCUUGCUUGCACAUUGUGCGUGUUUGUGUGUGUGACAGUAAAAUAUAUUUUUUAAAAGCUUGAAACAACUACAAUCUAGAAGGUGUGUGUGUGUGUGUGUGUGUGUGUGCGUGUGCGUGUGCGUGUGUCAGCUGUAGCGCUAUCAAACAAGGUGCCCGCCUCACUUUUUAGAUAUAUUAUGGGCUUUGAACUUUUUCAUUUUAAUUUAAAAAGGAUUCAUUAAUGAAGAAUUUCCUGAAUCGAAGCUUCAGUUGACUGGUGGAUUUAAACUGCAACCAUGGUUUCUCUAUCGAGCAGUAGAGUACAGGACAGCCACCAUAUUUGAAGUCCAAUGUCUGGCACGAAAGAAACAUGGAUGCAAACAUAAAUUAUAUUUUGGAAUUUCUAAAUGUUUGUUCCUCUAAGGAUGACCAAAGUUAACGUACCGGACUCCUAAACAAGUUACAGGCAUUUAAAAUGCAUUUUAAUGGAUGUACAUCCAGAAUCACAUUGUAAAAUCCACUCUGAACCCAUCAAUAUGUGAAAUGCCAUAAUGGUCUACCUCAAUCAUCGUUAUCUACAUGUAGUGUAUUACCUGAGUACACACAGGACUUCAACCAAUCAAAUGGGAUUUUGCGGGAAAUCGUUUUCAAAAUAGGUGACAAAUAAAUCAGAAUCACAGUGAUUUAUAGAGGUGUAUUUAAACCGAACAGACAAGUUCAUAUUUGUUGAUUUGAAAGUAUGCUUUUAAGACAUUGAGGGUGUGAUUUGAUUCUGAUAUACAGGAGAAAUUUAAUUUAAUUUUUCAUCUGGUUUUUCUGUAUGUGUAGCCCCCCAAAUAAAUUAAACAUUCCACU
ensembl:lncRNA